rnacentral:rRNA from 1 species
AGGACGAACGCUGGCGGCGUGCCUAACACAUGCAAGUCGAGCGAGGAGAUUCCUCGGGAUGAUCCUAGCGGCGGACGGGUGAGUAACACGUGGGCAACCUGCCUCAUAGAGAGGAAUAGCCUUCCGAAAGGGAGAUUAAUACCUCAUAACAUUGCAGUUUCGCAUGGAACAGCAAUUAAAGGAGCAAUCCGCUAUGAGAUGGGCCUGCGGCGCAUUAGCUAGUUGGUGAGGUAACGGCUCACCAAGGCGACGAUGCGUAGCCGACCUGAGAGGGUGAUCGGCCACAUUGGGACUGAGACACGGCCCAGACUCCUACGGGAGGCAGCAGUGGGGAAUAUUGCACAAUGGGGGAAACCCUGAUGCAAGCAACGCCGCGUGAGUGAUGACGGCCUUCGGGUUGUAAAGCUCUGUCUUCAGGGACGAUAAUGACGGUACCUGAGGAGGAAGCCACGGCUAACUACGUGCCAGCAGCGGC